UAGGGAAUCUUCGGCAAUGGACGAAAGUCUGACCGAGCAACGCCGCGUGAGUGAAGAAGGUUUUCGGAUCGUAAAACUCUGUUGUUAGAGAAGAACAAGGACGUUAGUAACUGAACGUCCCCUGACGGUAUCUAACCAGAAAGCCACGGCUAACUACGUGCCCGCAGCCGCGGUAAUACGUAGGUGGCAAGCGUUGUCCGGAUUUAUUGGGCGUAAAGCGAGCGCAGGCGGUUUCUUAAGUCUGAUGUGAAAGCCCCCGGCUCAACCGGGGAGGGUCAUAGGAAAAUGGAAGACAUGAGUGCAGAGGAGGAGAGUGGAAUUCAAGGUGGAGAGGUGAAAUGCGUAGAUAUAUGGAGGAACACCAGUGGCGAAGGCGGCGCUCUGGUCUGUAACUGACGCUGAGGCACGAAAGCGUGGGGAGCAAACAGG
rnacentral:rRNA from 1 species